GACGAACGCUGGCGGCGUGCUUAACACAUGCAAGUCGAACGGAAAGGCCCUGCUUUUGUGGGGUGCUCGAGUGGCGAACGGGUGAGUAACACGUGAGUAACCUGCCCUUGACUUUGGGAUAACUUCAGGAAACUGGGGCUAAUACCGGAUAGGAGCUCCUGCUGCAUGGUGGGGGUUGGAAAGUUUCGGCGGUUGGGGAUGGACUCGCGGCUUAUCAGCUUGUUGGUGGGGUAGUGGCUUACCAAGGCUUUGACGGGUAGCCGGCCUGGGAGGGUGACCGGCCACCAUUGGGACUGAGAUCCGGCCCAGACUCCCACGGGGGGCGGAGGGGGGGAUUAUUGCACAGUGGGCGCGAGCCAGAUGCAGCCACCCCGCGGGCGGAAGGCCGCCCUGCGGUUUUAACACCCCUUCCCCCUGUGACGAGGGGUGAGUGAGGGUAAUGGAUAAAGAGGCCCCGACUAACUACGUC
rnacentral:rRNA from 1 species